rnacentral:lncRNA from 1 species
GGAAGAACAGGCCAACUUGUCACUGAAUUUGCAAUUCAGAAAUUUGAGCAAUCCUUGGUUUUAACAAUUACCUUGUUGAAACAUUUCCUUCAUCUUUGACCUCUCAAUUCACUGGGAGAAAUCUGAAGCAGGCAGUUGUAUUCACCAGUUGUUGCUCCAUUUGGGAUAGGCCAGAAUUCUUUCAUCCCGGCCGUGUUGAUUACAAGAACUAACAAGGAGUACAAGGAGCUCUGCAGUGUCCAUCUCCCUACUCCUCCUCCUCUCCACCAGGCAGUCACUCCC